UACGAAGGGGGCUAGCGUUGCUCGGAAUCACUGGGCGUAAAGGGUGCGUAGGCGGGUCUUUAAGUCAGAGGUGAAAUCCUGGAGCUCAACUCCAGAACUGCCUUUGAUACUGAGGAUCUUGAGUACGGGAGAGGUGAGUGGAACUGCGAGUGUAGAGGUGAAAUUCGUAGAUAUUCGCAAGAACACCAGUGGCGAAGGCGGCUCACUGGCCCGUAACUGACGCUGAGGCACGAAAGCGUGGGGAGCAAACAGG
rnacentral:rRNA from 1 species